CAAUAAGCCUCACCUGGGCCACCAUCCACUCCCCUACUGGGGGGGGGAAAGGAGGGGAGGGAAGGUGGCCUGAGUACCUACUUAAGCUCAGCUCCAGGAUGUUUACUUUUUCUUAGGCUGUGCUGAGCCCUUCUUUUUCAGCUCUUUGCUUUUUUUCUUUUCUUGGGCAUCGGUUAUGUUUUGUUUUCAUCUUUGCUUGGCUCUUGCUGGAGCAUUUGAGGGAUUCGUUGGAGUCACUGGUUUGUCCUGGCUGUUCCUGGGGAGCUACUCUUUGCUUGUGACCCCCUGAAAGCAGGGUUGAGAAGGACCCAUAGAAGGGAAAAAAGAAAAACACUGAGGAACAUGGUUCUGCAUGGAAGAUCCUAAAUGGCAACAAAUGGUUUCAGCCAGCCAAGAGUGCAUGAGAAAGCUUCAAGAGAUGAAAGAAUGACAUCAACGUAAUUAUCACUCUCUCUUUUCAAGGAGCUGCUUAUCCACCAGGAAGAAGAUAGAUGAGAAUGGAAAACACAGUGAAAACAGCAUGCUGAGAUUUUGUUUUUUCCAAAGCAAGUAGAAGCAGCUGGUUGUUUGUCUGCUGAGACAGAACCUAUGGAACUUAUGGGAGAAGAGAAAUGUCAAUAAAAUCAGUCACUUCUUGAAGACCCAGGUUGAUAUUUUCUUUUGCAAAAUAAGGACUCUAGAGGCUCUCAGAGACUGUUUCUUACCAUCAAGCAUUUCCUUUUUCCUUAGCUCCUGUCCCACUGGAAAGAAAAAAUUCAAUUUAAUUUCCUUCUAUCAGAUAGAACACUUGGAAAGACACUCAAG
ensembl:lncRNA